rnacentral:lncRNA from 1 species
AUCAGAUCUCAACAAGCACAUCCCUUGCUCCCAUCUGUGAUCCGGAUCCUGUGAAACUCCCAACCAGUUCAGCUGCAUUUUCCAGUGAGUACGCGUUAGGGAUAUAGGGGUUCUCAGAACCAUUCAGGAUUCACACUGCCUUCCCCUGACUUCCUUCUACAAAGAUGCUGAUACUGCAUAGGUAUCCUGACUCUCAGGGGUUUUCCCUGGUCCACUCAUAUCUAGGUGUUUGUGGAGAUACCUUAAAACCUAGUAACAG